rnacentral:rRNA from 1 species
GCUAUAAUUGUCAGCUAAGUGGCGCACGGGUGAGUAAUGUAUAGAUAACCUGCCCUUAAGAAAGGAAUAACAGUUGGAAACGACUGCUAAUGCCCUAUAUGCCUUUAAUACAUAAGUAUGCAAGGGAAACGCUUUAGUGCUUAAGGAUGGGUCUGUAUGGUAUCAGCUUGUUGGUGAGGUAAUGGCUCACCAAGGCUAUGACGCCUAACUGGUUUGAGAGGAUGAUCAGUCACACUGGAACUGAGACACGGUCCAGACUCCUACGGGAGGCAGCAGUGGGGAAUAUUGCACAAUGGACGAAAGUCUGAUGCAGCAACGCCGCGUGGAGGAUGACACAUUUCGGUGCGUAAACUCCUUUUAUAUAGGAAGAUAAUGACGGUACUAUAUGAAUAAGCACCGGCUAACUCCGUGCCAGCAGCCGCGGUAAUACGGAGGGUGCAAGCGUUACUCGGAAUCACUGGGCGUAAAGAGCGUGUAGGCGGGUAUAUAAGUCAGAAGUGAAAUCCAAUAGCUCAACUAUUGAACUGCUUUUGAAACUGUAUACCUAGAAUGUGGGAGAGGUAGAUGGAAUUUCUGGUGUAGGGGUAAAAUCCGUAGAGAUCAGAAGGAAUACCAAUUGCGAAGGCGAUCUACUGGAACAUUAUUGACGCUGAGACGCGAAAGCGUGGGGAGCAAACAGGAUUAGAUACCCUGGUAGUCCACGCCCUAAACGAUGUACACUAGUUGUUGUGAGGCUCGACCUUGCAGUAAUGCAGUUAACACAUUAAGUGCACCGCCUGGGGAGUACGGUCGCAAGAUUA